CCCAAACCUGCCACCGACGGCCACUUCCGUUUCCCCGAUAGUAUUUGGGGAUCUCGAAGCGAUACUUCCGGCUCCCCCCAGGUCCCCAAGCUUUACUUUUGUGGGGCACGACGAGAAAGUCCGCAGCCCCAAACAGAAAGAUGGGCUCUGUGUGCCCCGGAAAUGGAUCUACCACCUGACUGAAGGGAGCACAGAUCUCAGAACUGAAGGCCGCCCUGACAUGAAGACUGAGCUCUUUUCCAGCUCAUGCCCAGGUGGAAUCAUGCUGAAUGAGACAGGCCAGGGUUACCAGCGCUUUCUCCUCUACAAUCGCUCACCACAUCCUCCCGAAAAGUGUGUGGAGGAAUUCAAGUCCCUGACUUCCUGCCUGGACUCCAAAGCCUUCUUAUUGACUCCUAGGAAUCAAGAGGCCUGUGAGCUGUCCAAUAACUGACCUGUAACUUCAUCUAAGUCCCCAGAUGGGUACAAUGGGAGCUGAGUUGUUGGAGGGAGAAGCUGGAGACUUCCAGCUCCAGCUCCCACUCAAGAUAAUAAAGAUAAUUUUUCAAUCCUCA
rnacentral:lncRNA from 1 species